GAGUCGGCUGCCGUGGCUGUGCUGAGGGUGGCGGCCGGAUAGGUGCGGAGCUUCCUGAACGAGGCAGGAGGGGUGCGAGGUUCAGGGGCAGGGCCCGGGCAGCCGAAGUCGUUAGGGAGGCGGUGACCUGACGGUGGGCGGCGGACAUCUCGCGGCAGGGUCGAGGGCUGUGAAAGCGGUUUAGUGAUUGAAGCGCUACGUUUGUGUGAGGAAUUCUUGUCGUUGUCAGCGCCUGAGAACUUAGUUGGGAGCGGACGUUUACGUCGAAUCUCUCGUUUGGGACCCCAUUCUUGAAUGUGGGAAGAAGUGAGAGCGCAUGUUUGCUCAUCUAGAGACAGCCGUAUUAAUAACGAUAGGAUACAAACCAUCACCCCACCAAGUGAUAGCAGCUGUUAACCUGUGGGCGGUUACGUGCCGGUCACUGUUCCAAGCCCCUCACAUAUCGCGUCACUGAAUCUUUAUAGGGACCCAGAACUCCAUUUGACAGAUGAGGAAACGGAGAGGCAGACAGCUGAUGUUCUAAUCAUGUCAGAUAAAGAUGAUAUUGAGACUCCACUGCUAACUGAAGCAG
rnacentral:lncRNA from 10 species